GGUAAGUAUAUAAAGAAACUAUUACGGAUAAAUAAGCUAUAUAUUAAAGACGAAUUAAAUAAAGUGUUCUUGGAAAAAUCCAUUUUUUAAACGAAGCGAAUUGAAAUAUCUUAGUAGCUUCAGGAAUAAAAAUCAAAUGAGAUUCCAUAAUUAGCUAUAACUGUUAUGGAAAAGCCUUUUAAGUAAAACGGAAAUAAUCUGUUUGAAUCUAGGGAAACCUUUCUCUAAGGCUAAAUAUGAUAUAUAAGCGAUAGCGAAGCAGUACCGUGAGGGAAAUUUUUGAAAUAGUAGUUUUAUAAGCAGCUCAAGUUUAAUUUAAAAGUAUAAUGAGAGCGUACCUUUUGCAUAAUGGGUCAGCAAGUUAAUGUUAGAUGCGAGAUAAGGUUCACAAAAAAUUAAGUAGUAAAGCUUAAUUUAUAUUUAGUGUCAUGCUAAGUGUAGAUUAAGAAUUUCACAAAUAAUUAAGUGGUAAUCCCUUGUCCUAGAUAAACCAAUUAUUAAUCAAUGAUUAAGUAUCUAAUGUUAGACCCGAAGCCUAGUGAUCUUACCAUGAUCAGGGUUAUAAAGGCCCGAACGGGUUAUCGUUGUAAAGAUAUCCGAUGAAUUGUGGUAAGUUAGUGAAAGACAAAACUGACUAGGAUAGCUGGUUUUCUGCGAAACCUAUAUAAGUAGGUAAUGUAAAUAACAUCAUAGCAGGUACAGAACUGUGAUAUCGGACAAAUUCGGACAAAUUAUCUUGUUUUCUUAAGGAUAGCAAGAUGGUUUUGUAUACAUCGGGGAAUCGUGAAGAUUUUAUCGGCGAGAAUUUGCUCUCGGAAGGGCAAUGAUGGAUUUUGCAUAAUCGGACAUAGUACGAUAAGGUUGUAUGUCUAAAGGGAAACAGCCCAGAACAAGAGUUAAAGGUUCCAAAAUUAUUGUUAAGUGAAAAUAAGGAAGUUUUCUUCAAAUACAACCAGGAAAUAGGCUUAGAAGCGGCCAUUUUUUGAAGACCUCGUAACAGAGCACUGGUUUAACAUUAAAAGUUGAAAGCACCGAAAAUUUAACGGAUCUAAAACAAUAUACCGAAACCUUGUCUAUAAAUAAAUAUAUUUUAAUAAACUAUUUUUUAUCUUAAGUAUUUUUAUUUAUGGGGUAGCAGAACGUUGGGCAUGUCUUAGACUUAGUAUUUUUAAUAUUAAGUAGGUUCAACGGCGUAUUUAUUAUUUGAAACAAGUAGGUUAAACGCAGAUUUGUGGAAGGUAAUUAAAAACCCGUUGGAUAAGAUGACCCCAAGUGAGAAUGCUGGCAUGAGUAACGAAA
rnacentral:ncRNA from 1 species